GUGGGGAAUAUUGGACAAUGGGCGCAAGCCUGAUCCAGCCAUGCCGCGUGAGUGAAGAAGGCCUUAGGGUUGUAAAGCUCUUUUAGUGGGGACGAUAAUGACGGUACCCACAGAAUAAGCCCCGGCUAACUUCGUGCCAGCAGCCGCGGUAAUACGAAGGGGGCUAGCGUUGUUCGGAAUCACUGGGCGUAAAGCGCAUGCAGGCGGACUGAUAAGUCGAGGGUGAAAUCCCGGGGCUCAACCUCGGAACUGCCUCCGAUACUGUCAGCCUUGAGUCCGGGAGAGGUGAGUGGAAUUCCUAGUGUAGAGGUGAAAUUCGUAGAUAUUAGGAAGAACACCAGUGGCGAAGGCGACUCACUGGCCCGGUACUGACGCUCAGAUGCGAAAGCGUGGGGAGCAAACAGGAUUAGAAACCCCAGUAGUCC
rnacentral:rRNA from 1 species